rnacentral:rRNA from 1 species
AACGAACGCUGGCGGCAUGCCUAACACAUGCAAGUCGAACGAGACCUUCGGGUCUAGUGGCGCACGGGUGCGUAACGCGUGGGAAUCUGCCCUUGGGUGCGGAAUAACAGUUAGAAAUGACUGCUAAUACCGCAUAAUGACUCCGGUCCAAAGACUUAUCGCCCAAGGAUGAGCCCGCGUCGGAUUAGCUAGUUGGUGAGGUAAAAGCUCACCAAGGCGACGAUCCGUAGCUGGUCGGAGCGGAUGAUCAGCCACACUGGGACUGAGACACGGCCCAGACUCCUACGGGAGGCAGCAGUGGGGAAUAUUGGACAAUGGGCGAAAGCCUGAUCCAGCAAUGCCGCGUGAGUGAUGAAGGCCUUAGGGUUGUAAAGCUCUUUUACCCGGGAUGAUAAUGACAGUACCGGGAGAAUAAGCCCCGGCUAACUCCGUGCCAGCCGCCGCGGUAACAC